GAGGGUGUAGCUUAAUGGCAGAGUGUAUGCUUAGCAUGCCUGAGGCCUUGGGUUCAAUCUCCAGCACCAACA
rnacentral:tRNA from 1 species